UCGGUGUUUUAGUUUAUCCCGCA
rnacentral:siRNA from 1 species